UCCGGAGGGGGCGAGCGUUAUUCGGAAUUAUUGGGCGUAAAGGGCGCGUAGGCGGCUUGAUGUGUCAAAGGUGAAAUCCCUCGGCUCAACUGAGGAACUGCCUUUGAAACUGUCUGGCUUGAGGCCGGGAGAGGGUAGCGGAAUUCCCAGUGUAGCGGUGAAAUGCGUAGAUACUGGGAGGAACACCGGUGGCGAAGGCGGCUACCUGGACCGGUUCUGACGCUGAUGCGCGAAAGCGUGGGUAGCAAACAGG
rnacentral:rRNA from 1 species